GACGAACGCUGGCGGCGUGCCUAACACAUGCAAGUCGAGCGAAGAACUUAUCAUGAAACCUUCGGGUAGAUUGAUAAACUUCUUAGCGGCGGAUGGGUGAGUAACGCGUGAGGAACCUGCCUUCCACAAGGGGAUAGCCUCGGGAAACCGGGAUUAAUACCCUAUGACACUUAAGAUUCGCAUGAAUAUUAAGUUAAAGCGCUUAGCGGUGGAAGAUGGCCUCGCGUCCCAUUAGCUAGUUGGUGAGGUAAUGGCUCACCAAGGCAACGAUGGGUAGCCGGCUUGAGAGAGUGAACGGCCACACUGGAACUGAGACACGGUCCAGACUCCUACGGGUGGCUG
rnacentral:rRNA from 1 species